rnacentral:rRNA from 1 species
GAUGAACGCUAGCUACAGGCUUAACACAUGCAAGUCGAGGGGCAGCAUGAACUUAGCUUGCUAAGUUUGAUGGCGACCGGCGCACGGGUGAGUAACACGUAUCCAACCUUCCGUUUACUCAGGGAUAGCCUUUCGAAAGAAAGAUUAAUACCUGAUAGUAUGGUGAGAUUGCAUGAUAACACCAUUAAAGAUUUAUUGGUAAACGAUGGGGAUGCGUUCCAUUAGGUAGUAGGCGGGGUAACGGCCCACCUAGCCUGCGAUGGAUAGGGGUUCUGAGAGGAAGGCCCCCCACAUUGGAACUGAGACACGGUCCAAACUCCUACGGGAGGCAGCAGUGAGGAAUAUUGGUCAAUGGACGAGAGUCUGAACCAGCCAAGUAGCGUGAAGGAUGAAGGUCUUACGGAUUGUAAACUUCUUUUAUAAGGGAUAAACCCUCCACGUGUGGGAGCUUGUAUGUACCUUAUGAAUAAGCAUCGGCUAACUCCGUGCCAGCAGCCG